rnacentral:tRNA from 1 species
UACAUGUUAGUGUAUGAUGCACAAAGAAUUUUGAAUUCUUUAGGUUUAGUUUAAAUCUAAAAUAUGUAA